AGCCGACUCAUUGGUAAAGACCCUGAUGCUAGAAAAGAUUGAAGGUAAAAGGAGAAGGGGGUGGCAGAGGAUGAGAUGGUUCAAUAGCAUCAUCGAUUCAAUGGAUAUGAUUUUAAGCAAAGUCAGGGAGAUAGUGACGGAUAGGAAAGCCUGACAUGCUGCAGUGCUUGGAGCUGGAAGAGUCAGACACGACUUAG